GUUCCUAUGAGCACCUCACAAGACAGACCCUGUGGAGCAUCAAACACGAGGGAAACAUGCCGAAUUAAUACAGGGGGAAUCCCACAGGCUUGGAAAUUCCGAAGACAGGCAAAAUGAGCUUGUGGGAAGUGUUCUUGACUCCUUUCCCAAGAGAGGUCCUUUUCACUUUGGGCUUGACUUGAAGACCCAGGUAUGUUACUUUGUUUUGUGUUUGGGAGGGUUAGACCUAAUAUCCUUUGGACCCUCCUGGAAUUCCCAUCCCGAGUUAUCCUGGCUUUCCCUCCACAAUUCUCCCUCCCUGAGUCCCUGCUGUAACUUUUAA
rnacentral:lncRNA from 1 species